ACAGACAGACAGACAGACAGAGAGAGAGAGAGAGAGAGAGAGAGAGAAUCAUUUUUCAGAUGUGCUCUGGCGCUGACAUGACACAUGACUCAACAGCAUAAACUGCAGUUGACUCUGGUUCUGUACUGUAAUCCUACUGCUGUUGGCUUCAUAAACAGUGUUGUAGAUCAUUCAGUACAUUUACUUUUCCCAUUUGCUUUCUUUAUAGUAGAGAUCCCUUCUAAACAGUCUAUUAGACUCAGGUUUUAUAUACGAUAUGUCUCUCUGCCUUCUCUUCCUGGGAUCAAAGAUGCUGAAUCCACACAUGACAUAUUUCCAUACUUACUUGCAUUUGAUUAAUAUAAAUCAUUUCAGAACUGUGUCUUAUUUAUUUUUACCAUCAAAGACUGUUUUUGUGCGGUUCACUGUGAACAGCUGGUGUCGAGGCAACAGUCACUGUGUCACACCCGCAAGUAGCAUUACUGUGUAACAGUCAGUGAAGUAUUGUUGCUUUUCCUUACAAAAUAAAUUAGUAUUUUAGAUGAUUUGUAUUAUCUCUAAAAAAUGUCUCUGUUUGCUAUAUUUAGUAUUUUUCCAGUUUGUUGUUUUAACACCACUGGGCUUCUACAGCUGUCUAUUUGCAUUGUGUGGGUUGAGCUGUACAAGGUCAUGUUUGUAGUGGUGUUGCCCUGUCAUGUUGACACUUGGUCUGUUCUCUCUAUGAUGCUGUGCUGUGAUGUGUUUCCAUGGUGCGUAACCAGGGUGAUGGUGUUAGCUGAUGAUCUCUGACUGUAACCUGUGCGUCCCGAACUCCUGUCUCAACGAAAGGAGGCUAUGCAGUAUGUCUGAACAUCACAGAGGGGUUCAGUGGGAAAGAAAGCUUGUCACAAUUUUAAUUAUUUUUAUAUCAGGUUUAACGUUUGAAGCAAGGAGGCCAGAUAAGAUACAUGUGUACACAAACACACGCACACUAAUGAUGUCACAGCUCAUCCACAUUUGGAGAAGGGGAUUCCUAUACAAUGUAGAAUAUGAGUGAGUAGAGGAACAACUGUGCCAAUACUUAGUCUGUCGCUGAUCCUAAACCAAUCAAGAGAUAUCUGAAUCAAGAAGAAUAGGCCACUCCCACACUGAUCUGGUGUGUGGUAACAUUCAUGUUCUAACUGACAAUCAGCAGGAAGUGUUUUAUUCCUAUAAUAUGAGGUGAUGUGAUCAGCAGGAAGUGUUUUAUUCCUAUAAUAUGAGGUGAUGUGAUCAGCAGGAAGUGUUUUAUUCCUAUAAUAUGAGGUGAUGUGAUCAGCAGGAAGUGUUUUAUUCCUAUAAUAUGGGGUGAUGUGAUCAGCAGGAAGUGUUUUAUUCCUAUAAUAUGAGGUGAUGUGAUCAGCAGGAAGUGUUUUAUUCCUAUAAUAUGAGGUGAUGUGAUCAGCAGGAAGUGUUUUAUUCCUAUAAUAUGAGGUGAUGUGAUCAGCAGGAAGUGUUUUAUUCCUAUAAUAUGAGGUGAUGUGAUCAGCAGGAAGUGUUUUAUUCCUAUAAUAUGAGGUGAUGUGAUUAUCAGCCCAAACAAUGAGUCUGAGUAGUUAUUGUCAAAAAAACAAUUGGUUCCAAAAAUAUUUGAAUUGGGCUGCAUGUGUAAAUACAGCCCUAGAGACCGGAUGAGGAGACAAGUUAAUUAGCGGACAAUGUGCAGAGGAGAGCUUCAGGCAUUUUGACAGAGCUCCGGUCUGACAGAGAGAUGCCUGGAUGGAUUCCUGUAAUUGUGUUUUGAUUAUGUUCACCGGUCCAGUAAGACAUUGUUACAGUAAUGUGGUACAGGGACAGUGCCCAGGCUGAGUUGUGACUCUAGUACAGUAAGACAUUGUUACAGUAAUGUGGUACAGGGACAGUGCCCAGGCUGAGUUGUGACUCUAGUACAGUAAGACAUUGUUACAGUAAUGUGGUACAGGUACAGUGCCCAGGCUGAGUUGUGACUCUCGUACAGUAGUUCAGUGCCUAUAAAUGUGAGGUAGUGCCUCGACCAUGAAUUCUUUAAUAAACUAUUUUGACGUGCUGUCUGA